rnacentral:rRNA from 2 species
AAAGCGGAGGAAAAGAAACCAACAGGGAUUGCCCCAGUAACGGCGAGUGAAGCGGCAACAGCUCAAAUUUGAAAUCUGGCUCCUAGAGCCCGAGUUGUAAUUUGUAGAGGAUGCUUUUGAUGCGGUGCCUUCCGAGUUCCCUGGAACGGGACGCCAUAGAGGGUGAGAGCCCCGUCUGGUCGGAUGCCAAAUCUCUGUAAAGCUCCUUCGACGAGUCGAGUAGUUUGGGAAUGCUGCUCAAAAUGGGAGGUAUAUGUCUUCUAAAGCUAAAUAUUGGCCAGAGACCGAUAGCGCACAAGUAGAGUGAUCGAAAGAUGAAAAGCACUUUGAAAAGAGGGUUAAAUAGUACGUGAAAUUGUUGAAAGGGAAGCGCCUAUGACCAGACUUGGGCCCGGUGAAUCAUCCAGCGUUCUCGCUGGUGCACUUUGCCGGGCACAGGCCAGCAUCAGUUUGUCUUGGGGGAAAAAGGCUUUGGGAACGUGGCUCCCUCGGGAGUGUUAUAGACCAUUGCAUAAUACCCUGGGACGGACUGAGGUUCGCGCAUCUGCAAGGAUGCUGGCGUAAUGGUCAUCAGCGACCCGUCUUGAAACACGG